CGGGGUUGAUGUUAUCUUUGGUUAUCUAGCUGUAUGAGUGGUGUGGAGUCUCAUAAAGCUAGAUAACCGAAAGUAAAAAUAACCCCA
rnacentral:miRNA from 1 species